GAGUCCUUGGACUCAUUAAUAGACAUGGUUCUCUUGCAGCUUACAUGUCAUCUCCUUGUCACAUUGAACUGAUCCUGUCUGAGAAGGAAGAACCAGUUAAGAAAGAGCCGGAGGCCCAAAUUGCAACUAGGAAACCAAAGAAGGCUCAGGCUCUGCGCAGUGGUGCCUCUUCUUAACCUAGUAAUUUAGAUUGAGGGAGAUAGAUUUCACAAUGCAGUUUUGUUUAAUAGCUGACAAAUGUUUGGAAUUUUUUUCCUUUUUAAUCUGAGCUGAUUUUUGCACUUUGAUCAUUACUGAUUUUGAUGCUGUUUGAUUAUGCUUGAGAAAUUUUUAGAAUCUCUUGAAACUUGCUAUUGGUGACUGCAGAAGUGAAGAGUAAAAAGCUUUAAAAGUUGUAAUCAGCAUUAUAGUCAUUGGUUUUGAACUGUUUAUUUAUGCCUGAUUCAAUGAGUUUUUUUA